CCUGCCCAAGAAUGAAGACCAGCCCCCCGACACACACACACACACAAAUCAGAGUCCCUUGCUGCUAGUUUCCUUGAACAGGCGGAAGUUGGACCCAACACUCUUAAAGCAAACUCAGCUCUGGAAGCAGUCAUUUAGCCGGAUGUUUCUUUGAUCAUUUAUAGCACGAGGAGACUUAGCAACGUUUCAGAACUGAAGGGUUACCCUGUGUUCCUGUGUCUGAAGUUCUUCCUGCUGCUACAACCAAGCUACAACUAAGGAGUAACAUAUUUCACAGGUUCUCUAGCUUCAACACCUUUCCAGAGAGCCAGUUGUCAAGCAUCUUCAGCACACCAAUAUAAACAACAUGUCAUGCUAAGCAAUGACUGUUCUUGGGUAAGAGAAUCUAACAGGGGUGCCUGGCUGGG
rnacentral:lncRNA from 1 species